UAGGGAAUCUUCCGCAAUGGGCGAAAGCUUGACGGAGCAACGCCGCGUGAGUGAUGAAGGUCUUCGGAUCGUAAAACUCUGUUAUUAGGGAAGAACAAAUGUGUAAGUAACUAUGCACGUCUUGACGGUACCUAAUCAGAAAGCCACGGCUAACUACGUGCCAGCAGCCGCGGUAAUACGUAGGUGGCAAGCGUUAUCCGGAAUUAUUGGGCGUAAAGCGCGCGUAGGCGGUUUUUUAAGUCUGAUGUGAAAGCCCACGGCUCAACCGUGGAGGGUCAUUGGAAACUGGAAAACUUGAGUGCAGGAGAGGAAAGUGGAAUUCCAUGUGUAGCGGUGAAAUGCGCAGAGAUAUGGAGGAACACCAGUGGCGAAGGCGACUUUCUGGUCUGUAACUGACGCUGAUGUGCGAAAGCGUGGGGAUCAAACAGG
rnacentral:rRNA from 1 species